rnacentral:lncRNA from 1 species
AAGCCCCGCGUCAAGGUCAAGCAAGAACCGGUCGCCUCCCCGCGUUCUAGAGCGACAGAGGAGCGAAAUAGAAACUAAAGGUUAGAAAGGGCAACAGAAUCCUACCGUCACCAGGCACGACCACCCCCUCCCCUUCUCACUGCGCUAUUUCCUCCUCCUUUCCGUUUCCCACUUGCCCUCUUGUAUUGGAAUCCAUCUAUAAAAGCCUCCUCCCCUCCCUUCUCCCAACUCGCCG